rnacentral:rRNA from 1 species
ACGUAGGGUGCAAGCGUUAAUCGGAAUUACUGGGCGUAAAGCGUGCGCAGGCGGUUAUACAAGACAGGCGUGAAAUCCCCGGGCUUAACCUGGGAAUGGCGCCUGUGACUGUAUAGCUAGAGUGUGUCAGAGGGGGGUAGAAUUCCACGUGUAGCAGUGAAAUGCGUAGAUAUGUGGAGGAAUACCAAUGGCGAAGGCAGCCCCCUGGGAUAACACUGACGCUCAUGCACGAAAGC